AACGAACGCUGGCGGCAUGCCUAACACAUGCAAGUCGAACGAGACCUUCGGGUCUAGUGGCGCACGGGUGCGUAACGCGUGGGAACCUGCCCUUAGGUUCGGAAUAACUCCCCGAAAGGGGUGCUAAUACCGGAUAAUGUCUUCGGACCAAAGAUUUAUCGCCUUUGGAUGGGCCCGCGUUGGUUUAGCUAGUUGGUAGUGUAAAAGCCUACCAAGGCGACGAUCCAUAGCUGGUCUGAGAGGAUGAUCAGCCACACUGGGACUGAGACACGGCCCAGACUCCUACGGGAGGCAGCAGUGGGGAAUAUUGGACAAUGGGCGAAAGCCUGAUCCAGCAAUGCCGCGUGAGUGAUGAAGGCCUUAGGGUUGUAAAGCUCUUUUACCCGGGAUGAUAAUGACAGUACCGGGAGAAUAAGCACCGGCUAACUCCGUG
rnacentral:rRNA from 1 species